AUUGAACGCUGGCGGCGUGCUUAACACAUGCAAGUCGAGCGGCAGCGCGGGGCAACCCUGGCGGCGAGCGGCGAACGGGUGAGUAAUGCUUCGGAAUCUUCCUCGUAGUGGGGAAUAACCUGGGGAAACUCAGGCUAAUACCGCAUACGAACUACGGUUGAAAGCAGGGGAUCGCAAGACCUUGCGCUAUGAGAUGAGCCGAAGUCGGAUUAGCUAGUUGGUGAGGUAAAGGCUCACCAAGGCGACGAUCCGUAGCUGGUCUGAGAGGACGACCAGCCACACUGGGACUGAGACACGGCCCAGACUCCUACGGGAGGCAGCAGUGGGGAAUAUUGGACAAUGGGGGCAACCCUGAUCCAGCGACGCCGCGUGUGUGAAGAAGGCCUGCGGGUUGUAAAGCACUUUUAGUGGGGAUGAAAAGCCGAAGGCUAAUACCUUUCGGUCUUGACCUAACCCAAAGAAAAGCACCGGCUAACUCUGUGCCAGCAGCCGCGG
rnacentral:rRNA from 1 species